rnacentral:lncRNA from 1 species
UGGAUUGUUUGAUUAAGUAAAACUGAGAAUCAGCUCUUAGUAAUUAUAAAGAAGUUAUAGUACGUUUUAUAGGCUUUCCAAAAAGUCUUGGAUCACCCCUUUUGGUGGUCUAGAAGUCAAGUUAUGGCUGUUUGAAAUGUAAUGUUUGAAUCUGUCAAAAAUCUAGACAGCAAUGUGUGUUUGAAUUAACUGACUUUGAUACACAUUGAAUCACCUUGAGAUGAUUAUAAAUGAAUUGUAGACAAUUAUAUUAGCUUUCUAAAAAGUCUAGGAUCACCUAAUUUGGAUGUCUGAAACUCCAGUUAUGGAAUUUUAAAGUGAGUGGUCGAAUUCUGUCCAAAUCUGGACAGAAAUUGCGUUUAGUACUGUUUGACAUUUCUAUAUGUCGAAUCUCACUGUAAUGAUAAUACCAAAAUUGUGGAGGACUUUAUAAGCUUUCCAAAAAGUCUUAGUUUACUAUUUUUGGAUGAAUAUUGUGUAAGUUAUGAAUAAAACAACUAGCUGCUGUUUUGCUGUCCAAAAUCAGCAAGCAUUAAGUGGAUUUCUUGAAGUUGCUCUUGUUUGGCUAGGUCAUUUUUUUACCCUUGAUUGAUGACAACUUGUUGCAUAUGAAGUGUUUAUCGAAAUGCCUUGUUAUAUUUGAUUAAUUCAUUUCCUUCUUAUUGUUUGACUAAGUAAAUUUAGUUAGUUCUUGAUUGAUGAAGUCUUGUACUUGCUAAAUUCAAGUGAACAAGUGUCCCAAGCUUAAGGUGCUAUACUCAGUAAUCUAAGGAAAGUAUGGAACACUUAUUAUAUUUCAUCUUGUAUGCUUUAGAUCUUUAAUUGUUGAGGAUGUAAAUUCUAUGGAACUUUAUGUUGUGUGAUAAGUGUUCUACUUGUGUGAUUGAAUAGAAAUGUGAUGAUUUAUUAGUUGGUGUGUUACAAUAAGUUAAUUUUGGAAAGAAGUUUAGGAAACUAGUUAAGCUACUCAUAUCUUUAAUCUAAGUCUGAGGUGACUAUCACUAGUGAACCUAAGUUCUAGUAAUCCUUUGAGAUGUACUGCUUUCUUGAUACUUGUGCCAGACCUUAUUGAAUUAGAAAGUUAGUUACAUGUGUUCUAUCACCUUUUCCAAGUUUUGAGUGUUAAAAAGUGACAAGUCUAAGGGUAAUAACCUAUCGAUGUUAUGCUUUAGCUUAAGGCUUGUGUUUAGUUAUGAUUUCCAAAUGUUUGAAUUAGGUCCCUCUAGCUCGAGGAUCAUGAUUGUUGUUAAUUCAAAGGUAUCUAGUGUUUGCCUAGGAGUUCUAAUGCCUUACUAGCAAUAUAUUACCCUCUUCGACAUAGUGUUAUUAUCUUGUAUUGUUUAUGAUUAUUCUCUCAUAUGCAUUAUGCAUAUCAUUUAGGUACGUUAAUUGAUCACGUGCUAUGGAAGACGAGUGGAAUUGAUCUCCAAGUGAUGCUGAUGGACGAAGCUAAAAUGGAUGAAUCAACCAAGUGUCAGGAUGGAAGAUGCUCACCAAGUGGUCGUCAAUUAACAACACUAACAUAGUGUUUAUCCCAGGCAAGCCCCGGUGCAUUUGCCACCUCCUUGUUGUUAUAAAACUUUUAUCACUUAUAUGUUGCAUUAGGUGAUAGGAGUUGAGUGAUGAAACAAUUGAUGCAAUGCCAUUCCUUGGAAUUUGAUUACUAUUCCUUGAUUCCUGUUUAUAAAAGAGAACUAAAGAUGCUUAGCCCUGCUUAGAUAAUUAAAAGUUGUUUCUUUUAAAAAGAUGAUGUGUUACACGGGAUAUGGGAAAUUGUUGUGAAAAAGAAAUUGGGAUGGUGAAUCCAUAUGGCCAUGAUGGAUUCAACAUCCAGAAAAAGUACCUCUGUCAGGUACCAAGGAUUGGGAAAUGGUUUAACUAAAAUGAGACCAGACGUUGAGCAGGAAAGGUCGCCCGUCUGUGUCGAUUAAGGACCGUUCCGAUUGUUGGCCUGCUGAUCUAGGACCCUUUAACUGGCCACAUGCCUCAUCAUGGGUAAGCUUAGCCUCGGUCGGACCAAUACCAGAACAGCUCGCACGCACUGGGAGUGGAGAGAUGGCGAGAGUAGCUUGUACCCUCCGUGGCAAGAGACUGGAAGGUGGGGUGCUGUACUCUCGGAAACAUGGCGGGCACCAUGGCGAGAGUAACGUGUACCAACCAGGCCAACGGCUGGAAGGUGGGGUGCUGUACUCUCGGAAACAUGGCGGGCACCAUGGCGAGAGUAACGUGUACCAACCAGGCCAACGGCUGGAAGGUGGGGUGCUGUACUCUCGGAAACAUGGCGGGCACCAUGGCGAGAGUAACGUGUACCAACCAGGCCAAUGGCUGGAUGGUGGAGUACUGUGCUCUCGGGUCGCGUGAACCUGUUUUGGUCUUGAGAAACCCGUGGGCGAGUUGACAUAUGCAAGGGUUAAGUGCUACAUAUGUCGUGUGGUUGGAGAUCCCCAGCUGGGUAUUAAUCGAUUCGGAUCGCCGUUACUUCUCGGAUAUGAAGACUGGAUCACUGCCCUGCAUCGUAGAUAACAAGUGAAACUAAAGUUGAUAAAAGGAAGCUAGUGUAGGACAAGUGAAUGCUCUAGAUUAGGCAAAUCUAGAUUCAGGAAAAGUACUUAACUUGUGAAGUAAAAUUUUGGCAUAAGGAUCCACUACUAGUAUGCUUGAAAGGGAAAUAGGCUUUAAACCUUUUCCUAAAUGAUUUUGGUGAUUGAAUGUCCAACACAAACAAUUGGACUAAUCAGUUUGCUCUAGAUUAUAUGUUCUACAGGUGCCCAAGAUUCAACAUGAAACCAAUAAAAAGAAUAAGACAAAAUAAAGGAGCAAAGGGGCAACCGAAGGCACCCCUGGUCUGGCGCACCGGACUGUCCGGUGUGCCACCGGACAGUGAACAGUACCUGUCCGGUGCACCAGGAAACGCAGACUCAAAACUCGCCACUUUCGGGAAAAUCCAGGGCCGGCGCGCUAUAAUUCACCGGACUGUCCGGUGUACACCGGACAGUGUCCGGUGCUCCAACGGAACGCGGCCUCAGGAACUCGGCAGCCUCGGGAUUUCACGAAGACUGCUCCGCUAAAAUUCACCGGACUGUCCGGUGUACACCGGACUGUCCGGUGUGCCAGCGGAGCAACGGUCAUCUGCGCCCAACGGUCGACUCUGACAGUAAACAGUGCAGAACAGUACGCGCGGCAGAAGUCAGAGCAGAGGAUCAGAGAGGCACCGGACUGUCCGGUGUGCACCGGACUGUCCGGUGCCACAUGAGGACAAAGCCUCCAACGGUCGACCAGCUCCAAUCUCGAACGGCUAGGAUGACGUGGCUGGCGCACCGGACAUGUCCGGUGUGCACCGGACUGUCCGGUGCGCCCAUCGCUAGCAGACUUCAUCAACGGCUAGUUUUUGGAUGGUGGAUAUAAAUACCACCCCAACCGGCCACUUAAAAUGUGUGGGAGUCCAAGCAACAUUCCAAGUCAUCUAGUUGACAUACUCAAGCCCUCCCAACCACCUAUAUUCAUUGAUCCAUCCUAUACACAAGAUUUAGUCCACUACAACCAACACAAGUGCCACAAAAGAGAGAGCAAGCAAUUGAGAGCUACUCAAUUGAGUUUAGCCCUAGCGCCUUGUGAGAUUCAUUGAGAGAUAGUGUGUGCUACAUCUUUGUGUUCAUUUGCGCGUGGAGUUUUUGACUCCCAUUCGAACUUCCUCCAAAGUGUUGGAGGCUUGUAAAAGCUAGCAAGAGACACCAAAGAUUGUGGUGGUCCUUGUGGGAUCGAGAGUGAUCCUUGAGAAGAAGAAGAGCUCGCCGAUCCUUGUGUGAUCGGGAGAGAGAGGGAAAGGGUUGAAAAAGACCCGUCCUUAAGUGGACUCCUCAACGGGGACUAGGCCUUCGAGGGCCGAACCUCGGUAAAACAAAUCACCCGUGUUCAUUGUGCUUUUGCUUGUGAUUUGUUUGCUUUCCCUUACUCUAAGUUCUCUUGCACUAUUCUUUGCUCAUAUCAUUUGGUGUUGCUUCAAGUUAAAAUCUCAUUUAAGUGAAGCAACACUCCGCAAGAAAAGAACUUGAGUUAGUGCUCUUUUUCAUCUAAGCUUUCUUGCUUUGUUAUCAUAGAAUUAUUAGUUGUAUUGAUUUAUCACUUCCGCAUUAUUUGAAAGCUAUACUCUUUACUAGCAAGAACUUAGUUUUUAUACUCCGAUAAUUGUUCAUCUUGUUCUAACCACUAAUCAAAGGAUCUAGUUGGGGGAUAAAGUUUUAAUUUUCAGGUUUCGCCUAUCCACCCCCCUCUAGGCGACUUUCAAUUGGUAUCAAAGCUAGGCACUUCAUCUUGAGUCUAACAACUCGAAGUGAUGGCUCGUAGAAGAUCCCAAAAGAACAAGAAGACCCAGGAGAACAAGGAGGUAACUCUUGAGAUAUUACUUUCCGAUUGUUCUAAUUAUGUUUCUUGGUCUACUAGAGUGAUAAAUGCCUUUAGAGCGGUAGACCCACAAUUAGAACAAAUUUUAGACAAGAGUAUUAUUCCUCCUAACUAUGCUAGGGAAAAUGCCUCCGAAAAAGAUUUAAGAUGUAUACGCUUAAACUAUCUAGCUUAUGACAUCUUAAGUAAAUCCCUUAGCAAAGAAGACUAUCAUGCCUUCAUAAUAAAAUAUGACAAACCCAUUUGUGAUGUGCAUGAUAUUUGGAUUAGAAUUAAAAGCAAAUUUAAUAAGUCCAAACAUGAUAGUUCAUUUUGUGCUUCUACUUCCCUUGGUAUUUGUGAUACUAACCCUUGCAAGGAAGAUGAAGAAAAUGAACGAUGGAGACCAAACGAUGAAUCCACCUCUCCAAAAGGUUUGUCUUCCCAUUUCAAUUCCCACAUAUGUUGUGUGGCUAAUGAAAAUGAUAGCGGAAGCACAAAUGAGGAUGAGGAGGAAGAAAGAAGCUUUGUGCAUCUCUACGCUCGCCUAAGCCAAGAAGAUAAGGCGGUCAUGCUCAAACUUCUAGAGAGAGCGAGAGAGCAAAGCGAAGCUCGUCAAAGGCUAGAAGAUAUUCUCUCCAUAAAGAUGCAACACUUUGACGAGUUGACUAAAGAACAUGAGGAGCUAAAGUGCUCUCAUGUUGAUUUGGUCCAAAGGUAUGAAACUAUUUCAAUUGAGCAAGAUAACGCUUCACAUUGUAUCGCUCAAUUAGUAAAUAGGAAUACCUUGCUUAAGGACCAAGUGGAAAAGCUAAAAAUUGAAAAUCUAGCUUUUCAAGAUAAAUAUGAUAUGCUCCUAUGCUCUCAUGAAAAUCUUAGAGAUGAUCAUAUCAUAUUAAACAUUGCUCAUGAGGUUGUGAUAGAAAAUUUAAAAUCCCAACAACCUCACUCAUGCACAUGUAUUCAAAUUGAUACUAUAUUACCAUGUGCUAAUGCUUGUUGUUUGUCAACAAGCAAAUCUUCCUUUGAGCCAGAAUUUGCAGGAACAAAUGAUGAUUCAUAUCAAAAGCUCAAAGAAGAAAAUGAGAGGCUAAAGAAGAGCUUGACACAACUAAAAGGGAAAUGCAUUGCCCAACCUUCUCAAGAUAACCGUGAUCACAUGGUGAAGAAGCUUGAGACGGGAACAACCGUGGCAUGCACUACAUCCCUUGAAGAAAAUGUCAAGGAUUUGAGGAUUGCCAUGAGGAGGGAACAAAAUAUGAAAUUCGACACCUCCUCAAAAAGCCUCAACCACGCCUCCACAAAAGGUAACAUCCAAGGUAAUGAUCAAGCCACACUUCACAUUAAGAGGUGUAGUGAAUGCUUUGAAGAGGGGCACUUGAUUAGGUCAUGUCCCCAUAUUAAUGGCUUGAUUAUUAACAAGGAUGAUAGACUUUGUUUUGAAUGCUCCAAGAAGGGACACUUGCUUAGAUCUUGUCCCCAUUUAAAACAAAAAGGCAUAGGAUUAGAAAGGAAAGUUUUUACUAACCAUGUAGCAGGCAACAAGCAAGGAAAGAAGAAAACUUCAAAACUUGAAAAACGCCUAUGCUACACAUGCCGAAGAAAGGGACAUCAAUGCAAGGAUUGUCCCAUUGGUAACAAUUCCACUCCUAGCUUGUCAAUUAAUUUUCAUAUAACUAGGCAACCCAAAAUUGCAACUUGUGCUAGAAAGGUAAUGAGUUUACCUAGUGCUAACACAAAGGACUUUUGGGUUCCUAGAUCUUUGUUUACUAACCUUAACAGACCCAUCAAGCGAUGGGUACCAAAAUAUGCUUGACAAGCUUUGUAGGAAAAGGAGAUGGUAUGAACCUUUGGGGUGCUUGAGGAAGUUAAUUCAAUUCUUAUCAACUCAAGCUAUCAAUCUUCAAAUGAUCUACAUAUUCAAGAUUGACCCAAGGUUAUUUCAAUAUGUUAUUCAAAACCCAUAUCAUCUCGGGGAAGAUAUUGAUGUUGUAGGAAUUAAAGAAUUAUCAUGUGCGGAAUAUCAAAGCCUACAACAUGGAGGAAAGUCAAAGGAUGGUAACAUUUAUAUUCUUAAGUGCAAUUAUCUUAAAUUGUCGUGUGUCUUGUGUAGCCACAUAGAAAUAGAAAGCACUUAAGCAUGUUUUAAAACUAUAUCAUCAUUCUUUGAAGAAAUUCCUCUCAUAUGGUAGAUUGUGUAUUUAUCAAUUCUAUAUUAUGACAAUCUACAUGCUCUAAAUUGUUGCAAUUUUUCAUGGCAUGUUUUUACAUUAAUUAUUAUUGCCAUGUUCUAGAUAUAGAGAGAUAUUUCAUGUUCUUAAAAGAAUAAGGUGUCAUGUAAGAAAUUCAAAUACUUAGGACACUUAUAAAAGGAAAAAUUCUCUCUAUAGCUAGAAAAGUGAGACUAAUAUUUUUAUCUAAGUAAUUUAAGUAGUCUCACUUGUAGAGAAUAAGUUUCUCUAUGGAAAUGCGUAUCUCGUCAUGUCUAGGAAAUUCUAUCCAAUAAUUCAUGUUGUAUCUCUUAUUGCUUAAUUGGAUAUGAUUCUUUCACAUUUAUCGCUUUCCAAAUCAUGAUUUAGAUUUAUUCCUAUAAUCUCAAAGGAUUAUUUAUGCUUGUUUUAUGAGUUAAAAUUGAGCAUAACAUCAUCUAUGAAUAAUCUAGUUCAUGCUAUGGAGUUUCCAUGUUUUGUUAAUCUAACUUCUCAUUCCUUACCAAAAUGAUUACAAAAAUUGGAAACUAGUGCUUGUGUUGCUACUAACAUUUCUCUUGAGUUCAAUUAUGAAAAUCUACAAGAGAGAAAGUACACAAGCCUCAUGGGUUGAGCUUCACCCAAAGGAAGAAAGGUAAAAGCAAAGGUAUGGGAACUCAUCUUCUUAAUUAAGUUUAGUUCCCAUCUCAAUGAGCAUUUAAUCUAAAUUAUCAUAUUCUACCCUUGUAAGGAAUAGAUUCGCUAUUGGACCGAAAUUAACUAAGUGUGCAUUCAAAUAUCAUUUUCUUAAAUGCUCAUGUCCAUUAGAAUCUAUUUAAUGCCUUUGCGAUAUUUAUAUGUUAUCAUAUUGAUUUGCUUCCAAGUGAUGAUUAACUAACUUCAAUAUGAUAAAGUAAAAUCUCCAAUAAUUAUUAAAAUGCUUAAAAGGUGCUCACUCAUUUUUCUCAAAUGAAAUGCACUAAUGUUAAGGAUUUUACUUCAUGUCUGUGUGACUUGUGGAUGAUGAAUUUUGUAUGCUAAUUAUCUAAAGUAAUCAUCAUUCACCAUAUACUCCCUUGCGCUAUUGACAUCUCUCUUGAGUAUUUUCAAUAAGUUUGGAAGGAAAAAGAGACAACUACAAAGGGAGGACACUCAAAUGAAAAAGGAAGAACAUCAAGGACAACAACACCUUCUUGGACAAUAAGUUUUUCACAACAAUCAAUGGUGUGGUUGUAAGCAUUCUAAGUCCUUUUCUUUUUCAUUAUGAGGUUACCAGGCUUAAGUUAUUUAUAGCAAAAUUUAUGAGCCUUGAUCAAGAUGUAUAAUGAUUCUCCUUUUAUGUUCUUAAAAUUGAAUGCAUUGAAAUCAAUUCUCUCAAUUACUUGAUGCAUAUCUUUAGGGGGAGUCCAUUAUUAUAUUUUGAUUAUGUUGAGACUAUUGCUUUAUCUUAGUAAUUUCAUAUAGUCUCUUGCAUGAGAAUAAUGUUUCUCAUAUAGUAUGCUAUUUCACAUCAAUCAAACUUGUUAAAGUAAUAUCACUUUCAUCAAGGUUUGUUGCCUCCAUUUCUAAAAGUAGCAUGCUUAUUGGAUUCUCCUAUUACUAAGCUUGAUUGAAAAUUUCAUGCCUUUGUUGUUUUCUUGAUCGCAUAUUGGUUGAUCAUUGAACAACUUCAAUCAACACUUAUGAUUCUUAGUGCCUCAUGUAAUUUGAAUUUGAUUUCAAUUGUGCACUAAGGAAAAAGGAGAAUUCAUGAUUCAUUUAUGCAACUUGUGAUCCAUUUUGAUAUAUGCUAACAAUAACUUGAAAAAGAUCACUAGUUGUAGAACUCUCUCUUGUGCAAAGUAUUUCCAUAUAUUGUCAUUGAGUAUAGGUCUUAAGCAACUAAGACUAAGGACAAAGCACAAUGAAGAGAGCAUCUCUAUGAGAAGGUACAAAAGGGUAAAACCACUUCCUUUCAUUUAAACUUGUACCUAAAUCUUCCUCUUAUAAGCAUUCUUUGCAUAUCUUAUACAUAAGGAAGAGAAAGCAUGUCCUUUGCAUUUAUCCCUGCUUCAUACCUAGUUUAACCUCUUAAAAUUUCACUCAUGCAUUAUUGCAUCUUUAUUAAAACUAGAUGAAGUGAUUCUAUUGUCAAAGAGCUUAAAGCUUAACCUUGUAACGAGGAUAAGCUACCUUUGUUCCAAAGGUGGAUGGUCCUUAAGUCUCUUUGAAAUCCUUAAAGGAAAAUGCUUAAAAUGUUUGCAACAUGCUUUCAUAAGUGCAUAAACUGUCUUGAGCAUCACUCAUAUACUAUGACACAAUGCACUUCACUUUCUCUAUGGUAUAGACUUGUUCUCAUUAACCUAAUUAUGUGCACUUGGCAUUUAAGGCCAAAAUAUGUAUUCCUCUCAAGGCACAUAUUUAGGGGGAGAAAUCUAUAUUAUAUAGAACUAUGAUCAUGCUUAAUUGACAUAUCUCUUGGUCAUAUCUCUUUCAUUUUGGUACAAAUGCAUAUAUCCUAUUAUUCCCGUACCAUGACUACGACUAAUAUGUUUCCAAGUAUAUUACUAUGCUAAGUCGUAGAUUGAAAGGGAAAUGGAGUCUUCGGCGAAAACAAAGGCUUCCACUCCGUAUAUCAUACUUCGCCAUCACUCCAAGCAACUCUCUAUUCCUUGGGGGAGAAAUGAGCAUCAAAGAAAAGGACUUCGUCUCUGGAAGAGAGUAAGAGCCCAAAGAUAAAAGACCGGACUUCGCCUUUGGUAUAAUCUUAACUCAUUUAUUUAUGCCCAAAGGGGAAGAUAGCACUUCAAGGGCUCUAAUGAUUCCGUUUUUGGCGAUUCAUGCCAAAAAGGGGGAGAAAUGAGCCCAAAGCAAGCAAAAGGACCGCACCACACCACCACCAAAUUCAAAAACUUAGUGCUUUCCAAAAGUAUUUAUCAUUUGGUAUCCUAUUGUGUUCAAAAAGGGGGAGAAAGGAGUAUUUCAAAAAUGGUAUAUCAAAACCCUCUUGAACACUAAGAGGUGGAUCUCUUUUAGGGGGAGUUUUGUUGAAGUCAAAGGGAAAGCAUUUGAAACAGGGGGAGAAAAUUUCAAAUCUUGAAAAUGCUUUACAAACUCUUAUUCAUUUACCUUUGACUAUUUGCAAAAGAUCUUUGAAAUGGAUUUACAAAAAGAAUUUGCAAAAACAAAACAUGUGGUGCAAGCGUGGUCCAAAAUACUAAAUAAAAUAAAGAAAGAAAGCAUUCCAUGCAUAUCUUGUAAGUAGUAAUAUUGGUUUAAUUCCAAGUAAUCUUUGCACCUAUUCUAUGCAAACUAGUUCAAUUAUUCUCUUAUAUAUUUGCUUUGGUUUGUGUUGGCAUCAAUCACCAAAAAGGGGGGGAUUGAAAGGGAAAUAAGCUUUAAACCUUUUCCUAAAUGAUUUUGGUGAUUGAAUGUCCAACACAAACAAUUGGACUAAUCAGUUUGCUCUAGAUUAUAUGUUCUACAGGUGCCCAAGAUUCAACAUGAAACCAAUAAAAAGAAUAAGACAAAAUAAAGGAGCAAAGGGGCAACCGAAGGCACCCCUGGUCUGGCGCACCGGACUGUCCGGUGUGCCACCGGACAGUGAACAGUACCUGUCCAGUGCACCAGGAAACGCAGACUCAAAACUCGCCACUUUCGGGAAAAUCCAGGGCCGGCGCGCUAUAAUUCACCGGACUGUCCGGUGUACACCGGACAGUGUCCGGUGCUCCAACGGAACGCGGCCUCAGGAACUCGGCAGCCUCGGGAUUUCACGAAGACUGCUCCGCUAAAAUUCACCGGACUGUCCGGUGUACACCGGACUGUCCGGUGUGCCAGCGGAGCAACGGUCAUCUGCGCCCAACGGUCGACUCUGACAGUAAACAGUGCAGAACAGUACGCGCGGCAGAAGUCAGAGCAGAGGAUCAGAGAGGCACCGGACUGUCCGGUGUGCACCGGACUGUCCGGUGCCACAUGAGGACAAAGCCUCCAACGGUCGACCAGCUCCAAUCUCGAACGGCUAGGAUGACGUGGCUGGCGCACCGGACAUGUCCGGUGUGCACCGGACUGUCCGGUGCGCCCAUCGCUAGCAGACUUCAUCAACGGCUAGUUUUUGGAUGGUGGCUAUAAAUACCACCCCAACCGGCCACUUAAAACGUGUGGGAGUCCAAGCAACAUUCCAAGUCAUCUAGUUGACAUACUCAAGCCCUCCCAACCACCUAUAUUCAUUGAUCCAUCCUAUACACAAGAUUUAGUCCACUACAACCAACACAAGUGCCACAAAAGAGAGAGCAAGCAAUUGAGAGCUACUCAAUUGAGUUUAGCCCUAGCGCCUUGUGAGAUUCAUUGAGAGAUAGUGUGUGCUACAUCUUUGUGUUCAUUUGCGCGUGGAGUUUUUGACUCCCAUUCGAACUUCCUCCAAAGUGUUGGAGGCUUGUAAAAGCUAGCAAGAGACACCAAAGAUUGUGGUGGUCCUUGUGGGAUCGAGAGUGAUCCUUGAGAAGAAGAAGAGCUCGCCGAUCCUUGUGUGAUCGGGAGAGAGAGGGAAAGGGUUGAAAAAGACCCGUCCUUAAGUGGACUCCUCAACGGGGACUAGGCCUUCGAGGGCCGAACCUCGGUAAAACAAAUCACCCGUGUUCAUUGUGCUUUUGCUUGUGAUUUGUUUGCUUUCCCUUACUCUAAGUUCUCUUGCACUAUUCUUUGCUCAUAUCAUUUGGUGUUGCUUCAAGUUAAAAUCUCAUUUAAGUGAAGCAACACUCCGCAAGAAAAGAACUUGAGUUAGUGCUCUUUUUCAUCUAAGCUUUCUUGCUUUGUUAUCAUAGAAUUAUUAGUUGUAUUGAUUUAUCACUUCCGCAUUAUUUGAAAGCUAUACUCUUUACUAGCAAGAACUUAGUUUUUAUACUCCGAUAAUUGUUCAUCUUGUUCUAACCACUAAUCAAAGGAUCUAGUUGGGGGAUAAAGUUUUAAUUUUCAGGUUUCGCCUAUCCACCCCCCCUCUAGGCGACUUUCAAUGCUUUUCUGCAAAAACGAGUCUUUGAAAUUUGAUGAGCCUUACCUUGAUUCCCAAUAAACCAGCAUACCCUUGAGAGUCUUUCCUUUAGUCGGGUAAGUCUUGCUGAGUAAUUGCGUACUCAGGGUUUUAUUCCCUGUUGUUUUUCAGGUUAUAAUUUUGUUCUGUUGUGGAUGCUGCUAAGUGCCGGUGGGCUCGGCCUUCUUAUAUAAGUAUAUCCCAUCUUUAGCUUCUUUAUUGAGGAUUGUCACUUAAGCUAGCAUGUAAUUUAAAACUUAUAAAUGUUUUAUACAUUCAAAUUGUAAUCUUUUGAAUCAAUUUCUUUUGUAACCAACUCCGAUGAUAUAUAUUGUAAUCUUGCUAUAACUUGUAAAUGUUGUAACUUGUAACCAUUUUGUAAUAAAUAAUUUAUUUCCGCUGCAAAUAUUGGUGUGUGAUUUGUGUUUACUUAAUCUUGCGAUCUUGGCGGUAAGUCGUUUAUCCGGGGUCCUCGGGGCACUCGGACAGAUCCUGUUAAGUUGUUUGGUGCACAUGCAUAGCUGUCUGAGGUCUUUGAGACAAGGACAGGUGCAUGUGGGCCCGAUAACUUGGGAGGUUCUGCGACAGCUGGUAUCGGAGCUUGAUUAAGUAUGAUACGGUCACAUACGUAUUUUCAAAACAAAAGUUUUGGUUUUAGAAAAUCUAUUUUCAACUAAACACAUUGUUUGGUUUUGAAAAACAGAUUUGAAAAAUUAUAAUGCUAGCGACAUCCUCUAUAAGCCCUAAGUUAAGGACUACUAGGUGGCUUAGUUCAGAAUACUAACCCACAACCUGGGAAGGGUAAUGCAUACAUGUGUAAUGUUAUUUUUGAAGCCAUUCAGUCUUGAAUGGAUCGACGCUCAAGGUAAGGUGAGAUGUGAGAGUAUGACCGAACAAACGUCGGUCUAGGGAAGAGCAUAAAAAGCGCUUGACUAUAUACAUGUUCUACAUAUGUAUAUAGGAAAGCUGCGAUGUGGAGUAAUUACUUUUUGGGAUUCAGUACCCCAUGGAUGUGUAUGGGUAUACAGACAUGGGAAUACUGAGAAGUGUAAUGUAUUUGCAACGACGCACCUACGCUCAGGUAAAAAGGUGAGUUACCAUAAUGGGCUGCCCUAUGGUUAAAGUGUGGCAGCGGCGCCUAUGCGUGGCUCGACGCUUAAUGAUGAGCUGCCUCCAUAUAGAAAUAUAUGGAGUAUAAACUGUGAUAAACUGUCAUAUGUGAAUUGCAUCAUUGGGAAUUGAGCUGUGAUGGAAAUUUUCUGCAGGUACACUAACUUCGAACUCGUAUGUGUAGCUGACGACUAGCAACAUAUCGAGAGAGAACGUAGAUAUGCCACCGAUAUAGAACGCUAUUGCCACAUUAUGUUGGCGAAAAUUGUGAGGACGAAUAGGACGAGCAUGCAUCCUGAGUUGCAUUGUGUUUGUUGUUUGCGCACAAAAAUGCUUCUCUCACCCUUAUUCUAAUAAUGGGUGAUUGCGAACAAACAUGCUUUUCUCAUCUUUAUUCCGAUAAUAAAUAAUUGGAAAAAUGUGCGAAGCAUUGCUGUCCUAUAAGAAAAUUUUUAGUUUUUUUUGUUAUGUCCUUUAGACAUGUGUUUAUGUGGCAUGUGAUUCUUCUUAGUUUGACCGCUAGUGCAACUUUGGUUUGUUUUCGUGCUUGUGUGCUGGUAGAAUGCAGGUAGUUUGUUUGCAUAAACCCAAAGCUAGGUCAUGUCCUCGUUUAGUGAACCAUAACCCAAAUCGUCAUCAAUCCUCCAAAAAUUCCUCCAAGUCUCCAAGCAUGGAUGAGUUCGAGUUUCUCGUUACUACUCCAUGACCGCUUAGAUAAGCUUUUUAUUGGAUGUAAAAUGAACGUUGACUUAAAAUAAGGAUCUCGAGUACAUGUUCUCGUUGUUUAAUAUGUGACUCUUUUGUAGUCAUUUUCCCUCCAAAAUCAUGCCUUUGGUCGCUUGGUGCAAGUUGAUGUUUCUAUUCCACUCUGUAUCUUUUGGGGACCAUCUCGUUAUUUUAUCAACCUAACCCAGGAAAGCCAUGUCCAAUCAUUUUCUUGAACUGGAUGUCUUUGGGUUCCUCAUAUCUCUUGAAGGCAUACCAAUUUAAUCUUCUGAUCAUUUUCCCUCUGAACCUAAUCAGACAUUAAUCCUUGACUUUGUAAUCUCGGCGAUGGGCAUAGAAAUAUGCUUAGCGCUGAAUUAAGAGUCUCCCAUCGUACUUGAUAGUCGCCUAGAGGGGGGGUGAAUAGGGCGAAACUGAAAUUUACAAAAAUAAUCACAACUACAAGCCGGGUUAGCGUUAGAAAUAUAAACGAGUCCGCGAGAGAGGGCGCAAAACAAAUCGCAAGCAAAUAAGGAGAGUGACACGCGGAUUUGUUUUACCGAGGUUCGGUUCUCGCAAACCUACUCCCCGUUGAGGAGGCCACAAAGGCCGGGUCUCUUUCAACCCUUCCCUCUCUCAAACGGUCCCUCGGACCGAGUGAGCUUUCCUUCUUCUCAAUCAACCGGGAACAAAACUUCCCCGCAAGGGCCACCACACAAUCGGUGCCUCUUGCCUCGGUUACAAUCGAGUGUUGAUCACAAGAGCACAAGAGAAAGAAAGAAUGCGAUCCAAGCGCAAGAGCUCAAAAGAACACGGCAAAUCUCUCUCGCUAGUCACUAAAGGCUUGAGUGGAAUUGGAGAGGAUUUGAUCUCUUUGUAUGUGUCUAGAGUUGAGUGCCUAGCUCUUGUAAGUGGUUAGAAGUUGGAAAACUUGGAUGGCAAUGAAUGUGGGGUGGUUGGGGUAUUUAUAGCCCCAACCACCAAAAGUGACCGUUGGCUGGAGGCGUCUGCUCGAUGGCGCACCGGACAGUCCGGUGCACACCGGACAGUCCGGUGCCCCUGCCACGUCAUCACUGCCGUUGGAUUCUAGCCGUUGGAGCUUCUGACUUGUGGGCCCGCCUGGGUGUCCGGUGCACACCGGACAUGUACUGUUUGAUGUCCGGUGCACCGGCAUGGGCGAUUCUGACUUCUGCGCGCGCUGCGCGCGCAUUUAAUGCACCGCAGGGAGCCGUUGGCGCCGCAGGGAGCCGUUGCUCCGCUGGCACACCGGACAGUCCGGUGUACACCGGACAGUCCGGUGAAUUAUAGCGGAGCGGCUGCCGCGCGAACCCGAGGCUGGCGAGUUCAGGAGGCCGAGCUUCCUUGGAGCACCGGACAUGUCCGGUGCACACCGGACAGUCCGGUGAAUUAUAGCGCGCCGUCUUCCGAGAAAUCCCGAGGGUGAAGAGUUUGAGUCUGAGUUCCCUGGUGCACCGGACAGGUACUGUUCACUGUCCGAUGGCACACCGGACAGUCCGGUGCGCCAGACCAGGGGUGCCCUCGGUUGCCCCUUUGCUCCUUUAUUGAAUCCAACACUUGAUCUUUUUAUUGGCUAGAUGUGAACCUUUUGCACCUGUAUAACUUAUACACUAGAGCAAACUAGUCAGUCCAAUAUUUGUGUUGGGCAAUUCAACCACCAAAAUUAUUUAGGAACUAGGUGUAAGCCUAAUUCCCUUUCAAUCUCCCCCUUUUUGGUGAUUGAUGCCAACACAAACCAAAGCAAAUAUAGAAGUGCAUAAUUGAACUAGUUUGCAUAAUAUAAGUGAAAAGGUUACUUGGAAUUGAGCCAAUAUAACUACUUACAAGAUAUGCAAGGAAUGUUUCUUUCUUAUAUAACAUUUUGGACCACGUUUGCACCACAUGUUUUGUUUUUGCAAAUUCUUUUUGUAAAUCCAUUUCAAAGAUCUUUUGCAAAUAGUCAAAGGUACAUGAAUAAGAGUUUGCAAAGCAUUUUCAAGAUUUGAAAUUGUCUCCCCCUAUUUCAAAUGCUUUUCCUUUGACUAAACAAAACUCCCCCUAAAAGAGAUCCACCUCUUAGUGUUCAAGAGGGUUUUGAUAUACCAUUUCUGAAAUACUACUUUCUCCCCCUUUUGAACACAAUAGGAUACCAAAUGAUAAAGACUUUUGGAAAGCACUAAGUUUUUGAAUUUGGUGGUGGUGGUGCGGUCCUUUUGCUUUGGGCUCAUUUCUCCCCCUUUUUGGCAUGAAUCGCCAAAAACGGAAUCAUUAGAGCCCUCGAAGUAAGUUCUUCCCCUUUGGUCAUAAGUAAAUGAGUUAAGAUUAUACCAAAGACGAAAUCCGGUCCUUUUGCUUUUGAGCUUUUACUCUCUCCUCGAAGGAUGAAGUCCUUUUCUUUGAUGCUCAUUUCUCCCCAAGGAAUAGAGAGUUGCUCGGAGUGAUGGCGAAGCAUGAGUUACGGAGUGGAAGCCUUUGUCUUCGCCGAAGACUCUAAUUCCCUUUCAAUAUACCUAUGACUUGGUUUGAAAUAGACUUGAAAACACAUUAGUCAUAGCAUAUAGAAGAGAUAUGAUCAAAGGUAUUCAAAUGAGCUAUGUGUGCAAGCUUAGCAAAAGAAAUUUCUAGAAUCAAGAAUAUUGAGCUCAUGCCUAAGUCUGGUAAAAGAUUGUUCAUCAAGUGGCUUGGUAAAGAUAUCGGCUAAUUGAUCUUUAGUAUUAAUGUAAGAAAUCUCGAUAUCCCCCUUUUGUUGGUGAUCCCUAAGAAAAUGAUACCGAAUGGCUAUGUGCUUAGUGCGGCUAUGCUCGACGGGAUUGUCGGCCAUUUUGAUUGCACUCUCAUUAUCACAUAGCAAAGGGACUUUGGUUAAUUUGUAACCGUAGUCCCGCAGGGUUUGCCUCAUCCAAAGCAAUUGCGCGCAACAAUGUCCUGCGGCAAUGUACUCGGCUUCGGCGGUGGAAAGAGCGACCGAAUUUUGCUUCUUUGAAGCCCAAGACACCAAGGAUCUUCCCAAGAACUGGCAAGUCCCUGAUGUGCUCUUCCUAUUAAUUUUGCACCCCGCCCAAUCGGCAUCCGAAUAACCAAUUAAAUCAAAUGUGGAUCCCCGAGGGUACCAAAGCCCAAACUUAGGAGUAUAAGCCAAAUAUCUCAAGAUUCGUUUUACGGCCGUAAGGUGUGAUUCCUUAGGGUCGGAUUGGAAUCUUGCACACAUGCAAACGGAAAGCAUAAUGUCCGGUCGAGAUGCACAUAAAUAAAGCAAUGAACCAAUCAUUGACCGGUAUACCUUUUGAUCCACGGACUUACCUCCCGUGUCGAGGUCGAGAUGCCCAUUAGUUCCCAUGGGUGUCUUGAUGGGUUUGGCAUCCUUCAUCCCAAACUUAGCAAGAAUGUCUUGAGUGUACUUCGUUUGGCUAAUGAAGGUGCCCUCUUGGAGUUGCUUGACUUGGAAUCCUAGAAAAUACUUCAACUCCCCCAUCAUCGACAUCUCGAAUUUCUGUGUCAUGAUCCUACUAAACUCUUCACAUGUAGACUCGUUAGUAGACCCAAAUAUAAUAUCAUCAACGUAAAUUUGGCAUACAAACAAGUCAUUUUCAAGAGUUUUAGUAAAGAGUGUAGGAUCGGCCUUGCCGACUUUGAAGCCAUUAGCAAUAAGGAAAUCUCUAAGGCAUUCAUACCAUGCUCUUGGGGCUUGCUUGAGCCCAUAAAGCGCCUUAGAGAGCCUAUAGACAUGAUUUGGAUACUCACUGUCUUCAAAGCCGGGAGGUUGCUCAACAUAGACCUCUUCCUUGAUCGGUCCAUUGAGGAAGGCACUUUUCACGUCCAUUUGAUAGAGCUUAAAGCCAUGGUAAGUAGCAUAGGCCAAUAAUAUGCGAAUUGACUCAAGCCUAGCUACGGGUGCAUAGGUUUCACCGAAAUCCAAACCUUCGACUUGUGAAUACCCUUUGGCUACGAGUCGAGCUUUGUUCCUUGUCACCACACCAUGCUCAUCUUGCUUGUUGCGGAAGACCCAUUUGGUUCCUACAACAUUUUGGUUAGGACGUGGAACUAAAUGCCAGACCUCAUUCCUCGUGAAAUUGUUGAGCUCCUCUUGCAUCGCCACCACCCAAUCCGAAUCUUGGAGAGCUUCCUCUACCCUGUGUGGCUCAAUAGAGGAAACAAAAGAGUAAUGUUCACAAAAAUGAGCAACCCGAGAUCGAGUAGUUACCCCCUUAUGAAUGUCGCCGAGGAUGGUGUCGACGGGGUGAUCUCGUUGGAUUGCUUGGUGGACUCUUGGGUGUGGCGGUCUUGGUUCUUCCUCAUCCUCCUUUUCUUGAUCAUUUGUAUCUCCCCCUUGAUCAUUGCUAUCAUCUUGAGGUGGCUCGUCUUCUUGAUUUUGCUCUUCAUCAUUUUGAGCCUCAUCCUCAUUUUGAGUUGGUGGAGAUGCUUGCAUGGAGGAGGAUGGUUGAUCUUGUGUACUUGGAGGCUCUUUGGAUUCCUUAGGACACACAUCCCCGAUGGACAUGUUCCUUAGCGCGAUGCAUGGAGCCUGUUCUUCACCUAUCUCAUCAAGAUCAACUUGCUCUACUUGAGAGCCGUUAGUUUCAUCAAACACAACGUCACAAGAGACUUCAACUAGUCCAGUGGACUUGUUAAAGACCCUAUAUGCCCUUGUGUUUGAGUCAUAACCAAGUAAAAAGCCUUCUACAGUUUUAGGAGCAAAUUUUGAUUUUCUACCUCUUUUAAUAAGAAUGAAGCAUUUGCUACCAAAAACUCUAAAAUAUGAAAUAUUGGGCUUUUUACCGGUUAGGAGUUCAUAUGAUGUCUUCUUGAGGAUUCGGUGAAGAUAUAACCGGUUGAUGGCGUAGCAGGCGGUGUUGACUGCUUCGGCCCAAAACCGGUCCGGUGUCUUGUACUCAUCAAGCAUGGUUCUUGCCAUGUCCAAUAGAGUUCGAUUCUUCCUCUCCACUACACCGUUUUGUUGUGGCGUGUAGGGAGAAGAGAACUCAUGCUUGAUGCCCUCCUCCUCAAGGAAGCUUUCAAUUUGAGAGUUCUUGAACUCCGUCCCAUUGUCGCUUCUUAUUUUCUUGAUCCUUAAGCCGAACUCAUUUUGAGCUCGUCUCAAGAAUCCCUUUAAGGUCUCUUGGGUUUGAGAUUUUUCCUGUAAAAAGAAUACCCAAGUGAAGCGAGAAUAAUCAUCCACAAUAACUAGACAGUACUUACUCCCGCCGAUGCUUAUGUAAGCGAUCGGGCCGAAUAGAUCCAUGUGUAGGAGCUCUAGCGGCCUGUCAGUCGUCAUUAUGUUCUUGUGUGGAUGAUGAGUGCCAACUUGCUUCCCUGCUUGGCAUGCGCUACAAAUCCUGUCUUUCUCAAAAUGAACAUUGGUUAGUCCUAAAAUGUGCUCUCCCUUUAGAAGCUUAUGAAGAUUCUUCAUCCCAACAUGGGCUAGUCGGCGGUGCCAGAGCCAACCCAUGUUAGUCUUAGCAAUUAAACAUGUGUCGAGCUCAGCUCUAUCAAAAUCUACUAAGUAUAGCUGACCUUCUAACACACCCUUAAAUGCUAUUGAAUCAUCACUUCUUCUAAAGACAGUGACACCUAUAUCAGUAAAAAGACAGUUGUAGCCCAUUUGACAUAAUUGGGAAACAGAAAGCAAGUUGUAAUCUAAUGAAUCAACAAGAAAAACAUUGGAAAUGGAAUGGUUAGGUGAAAUAGCAAUUUUACCCAAACCUUUGACCAACCCUUGAUUUCCAUCCCCGAAUGUGAUAGCUCGUUGGGGAUCUUUGUUUUUCUCAUAUGAGGAGAACAUCCUUUUCUCCCCGGUCAUGUGGUUUGUGCACCCGCUGUCGAGUAUCCAACUUGAGCCCCCGGAUGCAUAAACCUACAAAACAAAUUUAGUUCUUGACUUUAGGUACCCAAAUUGUUUUGGGUCCUUUGGCAUUAGAUACAAGAACUUUGGGUACCCAAACACAAGUCUUGGAACCCUUGUGUUUGCCCCCAACAAACUUGGCAACGACCUUGCCGGAUUUGUUAGUCAAAACAUAAGAAGCAUCAAAAGUUUUAAAUGAGAUAGUAUGAUCAUUUGAUGCACUAGGAGUUUUCUUUCUAGGCAACUUGGCACGGGUUGGUUGCCUAGAGCUAGAUGUCUCACCCUUAUACAUAAAAGCAUGAUUGGGGCCAGAGUGAGACUUCCUAGAGUGAAUUUUCCUAAUCUUGCUCUCAGGAUAGCCGGCAGGGUAUAAAAUGUAACCCUCGUUAUCCUGAGGCAUGGGAGCUUUGCCCUUAACAAAGUUAGACAAAUUUUUAGGAGGGGCAUUAAGUUUGACAUUGUCUCCCCUUUGGAAGCCAAUGCCAUCCUUAAUGCCAGGGCGUCUCCCAUUAUAAAGCAUGCUACGAGCAAAUUUAAAUUUCUCAUUUUCUAAGUUGUGCUCGGCAAUUUUAGCAUCUAGUUUAGCUAUAUGAUCAUUUUGUUUUUUAAUUAAGGCUAGGUGAUCAUGGAUAGCAUCAACAUUAAUAUCUCUACAUCUAGUGCAAAUAGAAACAUGCUCAACAUUAGAUGUAGAGGGUUUGCAAGAUUUAAGUUCUACAACCUUAGCAUGCAACAUUUCAUUCUUAGUUCUAUGGUCGGAAAUAGUAGCAUUGCAAACAUUAAAAUCUUUAGCCUUAGCAAUUAAAUUUUCAUUCUCUAAUCUAAGGCUAGCAAGAGAUGCAUUCAAUUCAUCAAUCUUAGCAAGCAAGUCAACGUUAUCAUCUCUAAGAUUGGUAAUUGAAACAUUACAAACAUGUGAAUCAACCUUAGCAUUUAAAGUAGCAUUUUCAUUUCUAAGGUUGUCAAUCAUCUCACGGCAAGUGCUUAGCUCACUAGACAGUUUUUCACAUUUUUCAACUUGUAGAGCGUAAGCAUUUUUAACCUUAACAUGUUUCUUAUUCUCCUUGAUUAGGAAGUCCUCUUGGGAGUCCAAGAGAUCAUCCUUUUCAUGGAUGGCACUAAUUAGUUCAUUUAAUUUUUCCUUUUGUUCCAUGUUAAGGUUAGCAAAAAGAAUGCGCAAGUUAUCCUCCUCAUUUUUAUCAUCAUCCUCAUCACUAGAUGUUUCAUAUUUAGUGGAGGACCUUGAUUUUACCUUCUUUUUGCCGUCCUUGGCCAUGAGACACUUGUGGCCGACGUUGGGGAAGAGAAGGCCCUUGGUGACGGCGAUGUUGGCGGCGUCCUCGUCGGAGGAGGAGUCGCUUGAGCUUUCGUCGGAGUCCCACUCCCGACAAACAUGGGCAUCGCCGCCCUUCUUCUUGUAAUACUUCUUCUUCUCCUUUCUUCUUCCCUUCUUGUCGUCGCCCCUGUCACUGUCACUAGACAUAGGACAUUUUGCAAUAAAGUGACCGGGCUUACCACACUUGUAGCAAACCUUCUUGGAACUAGGUUUGUAGUCCUUCCCCUUCCGUUGCUUGAGGAUUUGCCUAAAGCUUUUGAUGAUUAGGGCCAUCUCCUCAUUGUCGAGCUUGGAGGCGUCAAUUGGUUGUCUACUUGGUGUAGACUCCUCCUUCUUCUCCUCCGUUGCCUUAAAGGCCACUGGUUGCGCCUCGGAGGUGGAAGGCUCGUCAAGCUCGUUGAUCUUCUUGGAGCCCUUAAUCAUGCAUUCAAAACUCACAAAAUUCCCGAUAACUUCCUCGGGGGUCAUUAGUGGAUAUCUAGGAUUCCCACGAAUUAAUUGUACUUGAGUGGGGUUAAGGAAAAUAAGAGCUCUUAGAAUAACCUUAACCACUUCGUGGUCAUCCCAUUUUGUGCUCCCGAGGUUGCGCACUUGGUUCACCAAGGUCUUGAGCCGGUUGUACAUGUCUUGUGGCUCCUCCCCUUGGCGAAGACGGAAGCGACCGAGCUCCCCCUCGAUCGUUUCCCGCUUGGUGAUCUUGGUGAGUUCAUCACCCUCGUGCGCCGUCUUGAGUAGGUCCCAAAUCUCCUUGGCGUUCUUCAAUCCUUGUACUUUGUUGUAUUCCUCCUUGCUUAGGGAGGCAAGGAGGAUGGUUGCGGCUUGGGAGUUGAAGUGCUCGAUUUGGGCCACUUCGUCCGUGUCAUAGUCCUCAUCCCCUAUUGAUGGUACCUGUACACCAUACUCAACAACAUCCCAUAUUCUUUUGUGGAGAGAGGUUAGAUGAAAUCGCAUCAAAUUACUCCACAUAGCAUAAUCUUCACCAUUAAAAGUUGGUGGUUUGCCUAAUGGGACGGAAAGUAAAGGUGUAUGUUUAGGAAUGCGAGGGUAGCGUAGGGGGAUCUUACUAUACUUCUUGCGCUCUUGGCGUUUGGAAGUGACGGACGCCGCGUCGGAGCCGGAGGUAGAUGUCGAUGAAGUGUCGGUCUCGUAGUAGACCACCUUCCUCAUCCUCUUGUGCUUGUCCCCACUCCGAUGUGGCUUGUGAGAAGAAGAUUUUUCCUUCUUCUCCUUGUGGUGAGAAGAGGAAGAUCUUUUCUCCUUCCGUUUGGAGGAGUUCUUCUUCUUCUCCCUUUUGUUGGUGCGGGACUCUUCCGAUGAGGUGCUCCCUUGGCUUGUAGUGGGCUUGUCGCCGGUCUCCAUCUCCUUCUUGGCGUGAUCUCCCGACAUCACUUCGAGCGGUUAGGCUCUAAUGAAGCACCGGGCUCUGAUACCAAUUGAUAGUCGCCUAGAGGGGGGGUGAAUAGGGCGAAACUGAAAUUUACAAAAAUAAUCACAACUACAAGCCGGGUUAGCGUUAGAAAUAUAAACGAGUCCGCGAGAGAGGGCGCAAAACAAAUCGCAAGCAAAUAAGGAGAGUGACACGCGGAUUUGUUUUACCGAGGUUCGGUUCUCGCAAACCUACUCCCCGUUGAGGAGGCCACAAAGGCCGGGUCUCUUUCAACCCUUCCCUCUCUCAAACGGUCCCUCGGACCGAGUGAGCUUUCCUUCUUCUCAAUCAACCGGGAACAAAACUUCCCCGCAAGGGCCACCACACAAUCGGUGCCUCUUGCCUCGGUUACAAUCGAGUGUUGAUCACAAGAGCACAAGAGAAAGAAAGAAUGCGAUCCAAGCGCAAGAGCUCAAAAGAACACGGCAAAUCUCUCUCGCUAGUCACUAAAGGCUUGAGUGGAAUUGGAGAGGAUUUGAUCUCUUUGUAUGUGUCUAGAGUUGAGUGCCUAGCUCUUGUAAGUGGUUAGAAGUUGGAAAACUUGGAUGGCAAUGAAUGUGGGGUGGUUGGGGUAUUUAUAGCCCCAACCACCAAAAGUGACCGUUGGCUGGAGGCGUCUGCUCGAUGGCGCACCGGACAGUCCGGUGCACACCGGACAGUCCGGUGCCCCUGCCACGUCAUCACUGCCGUUGGAUUCUAGCCGUUGGAGCUUCUGACUUGUGGGCCCGCCUGGGUGUCCGGUGCACACCGGACAUGUACUGUUUGAUGUCCGGUGCACCGGCAUGGGCGAUUCUGACUUCUGCGCGCGCUGCGCGCGCAUUUAAUGCACCGCAGGGAGCCGUUGGCGCCGCAGGGAGCCAUUGCUCCGCUGGCACACCGGACAGUCCGGUGUACACCGGACAGUCCGGUGAAUUAUAGCGGAGCGGCUGCCGCGCGAACCCGAGGCUGGCGAGUUCAGGAGGCCGAGCUUCCUUGGAGCACCGGACAUGUCCGGUGCACACCGGACAGUCCGGUGAAUUAUAGCGCGCCGUCUUCCGAGAAAUCCCGAGGGUGAAGAGUUUGAGUCUGAGUUCCCUGGUGCACCGGACAGGUACUGUUCACUGUCCGAUGGCACACCGGACAGUCCGGUGCGCCAGACCAGGGGUGCCCUCGGUUGCCCCUUUGCUCCUUUAUUGAAUCUAACACUUGAUCUUUUUAUUGGCUAGAUGUGAACCUUUUGCACCUGUAUAACUUAUACACUAGAGCAAACUAGUCAGUCCAAUAUUUGUGUUGGGCAAUUCAACCACCAAAAUUAUUUAGGAACUAGGUGUAAGCCUAAUUCCCUUUCAGUACUCCCUCAUCAACCAAUUUAGGUUUUGGCAAUCCCGUGUUCCUUCAUCGGGCCAGGACCUAUUUGGCUCUCUACCUGUAACCAUUCUUAUAGGUGGAGUCUCUUUUGUAUAUUAUCAUCCUGGCUUAGUCUAUUUGUUACCGCGUGAGAUUUUUUAUUGGUUACGUCUGGUAAUGGUGUUAUGACUAAAACUGGCGGUGCCGCGACGAAACCGAGGGCCUCCUGUGGGUGAUCAACACAUGGUUGCGCUACUUGGCACGCGCUGGUAUCACAGUUAGUAGUCAUAAUCCAUUAUGAGAUUAUAUCGAUAUGUUAUCUUUGAGCAAAUUGUUCUUACCACGUGAGAUUCAUUAUCGGUGCCAGUUCGGUAAUGGUGUCAUGAUUAAGGACUUAUGGUGCCGCAGCGAAACUGAGAGCCCCUUGUGAAUGUACACGCAAGGUUAUGCUGCUUGGCGCAUGCUGGUAUCGAGGUAUCUAGUCAUGAUCCAUUAUGGAACUACAUUAAUAUAUUAUCUUUCGUGGACUUUUCCCUUGAAAUGAUUUUUGUGUUGUUUGCUAAAACAAUCAAACAAUAUAUGCCAUCACUAUUGGAUCAAAAGAGUAUAUAACUCUGAUGUAUUCUUUAAGUAAAAUUCUUACCAGUUCCGAAGUCUUCAAAAAAAACGAAACUUAUCUGUAUCUAUCCAUGUAAAAAAACUCACCCCUUUCAUGUGUGGUCUAUUUUCUCUUAAUUUUGGUGGUGACUACAAUACAAGUUCCCUUUACGUCCUUUGUGUAAAGGUGAAGCCUCGAAGCUUUUUAGUGUUGAGAGAUAAUUAAUUGGUCCUCUUCAUGGAGAAAGUAAUCUACCACUAGGAGUUUGUUCAUUCGCUCUUUUAUUUAAUCCAUGUAUUUCCGAACCAAGUUAUUUCAUCUCGCAUGAAGGAACGAAUGAACAACAUGACCAAAUGGAUUUUCACUCAAAUGCAUGAUCAACUGUUAACAAAUGUGAACUCUCAACCCUGGUUUGCCGAUGGAUAAUAAGAAGACUUGCUCAAUGUCAAAAGUAGUUCAACAAGUUGGUUUUACUAACUUGUAACUGCCCAAUGAACAAAGGUUGAGUUUAGAGAUCGUUUUAUCGAGUUGUCCAAACUCACUUAGUUCAGCCUAUCCUAAAGAAACCCUUAUCAAGAUCAAGUGAAGGUUAUGAACAUAUGCGCAGAUCUUGUGCCAUAUUGGAUUAGAUUAUGAGCGUAUGUAUCUUAACUUUACCUUGUUGGCCGAGGCACUUUGCCAUCCUCAGCUGACUGAUUACAGCCUGACCACAGUUCUAGUCGUGCCUCAAUCGCCUCACAUGUGAUUUUCUAACAUGUGUGAUCAAGCCGAGCCAUGCUUAGUGCUUGAUAAAAUGGAUUGGACACGAGGUCAACAUCUACAGAUCCCUUCAUUCCUUGAAUCUCUAUUAUUUUUCUUGGACUUGGAUUCCCUGGCUAACCACGAGUUAAUUGUGAUGUUAUUCGACAUCCAUCCUCGUCUUAUGUGCUAGGAAUUGCUAUCCAUUUGUCCACCGUUCUCAACAGACUCAGAUAGUACAGUGUUAUCAGAAAAAAACAAAUUGCACACAUGUAGCCUUAUGUGUUCUUCUAGCUGAUGUCGUCUCUAUUGAUGGACAUCCCUAAUUAGCUUAAAAUGAUACAUGCUAUACCCACUUGAGGAACCAACAUCUUGGAGUACUCAUCUCUACUCGGAACUGUCUUAUGCUAUCGCUAUUAUGGACAGGGUUACACGCCUCUCUACUCUUAGAAGUCUUUCGUUCUGAAUCUCGGGACGAGAUUCUUUUAAGGGGGGAGGGUUGUAACACCCCAGGUGUUUAUCGUCUGCUCGACCACGAGUGCGGACUUUAACAUGUGAUAGCGGUGAAUAAAAUGGACACUAAAUUUUAAUCAUCUUCGUCGAUCACGAUUUCGAUAUCGUGUCUGUCUCCAUCUGUUUAAAUUGUCCUAAAUUAUUUCGCAAAAAUUCAGACUUCAGUAAUUUUCGGAACAUCGAAUCCAGUAUCGUUUGGGUUAAGCCAUCAACGUCUUGCCCAAACUUUAAUUCUGGAAAUCGGAUCUAGUUUCUUAAACUGCAUUUGAAAUCCUUUCACGCUUAUGUUGCCCGUGUCUCUCUGUGGCCUGGCAUCGUGGCGCGUGGCUGGUGUUAACCGGUGUCUGGACAGCGCACAACCUCUCGCCCACGUGAACGUUGCGUGAGGUCGAUUCCGAAAGGGAUCACAAUUUCGAUGCUUAUCGAUCUGACAUAUUUAUUUCGCGAGAUGUUGAGUCUACACUAUUCGGAUAUCAUGUGAUCUUCGUCCGAACUCAACUGGGUCGAAAAUAUAUUAUAAAUAUUAGAGCCAAAGUCGUCGUUCGAUCUGAGUGCAUAUCGCCCUGGUCCAAACGUACGGGUAUAAAUAGUUGGUAAAAUUUAUCUUUUUCUGGGCGCGUCUACCAAAUCGAGCGGUCCAAAUUUAUGUUAUCGGUCUCAUUUAAUUCAACAUAUUUAUACAUCAUUUAGAAUUGAAUUUCAGAACCUAGAAUAUCUAUGUUUACUUUUGUUAAGAAUGAAAUAAGAGAAAAAUCUCUCUUCAGUUUUCCUCUCCACCGCUCUUCCCUAUACUUUAUCCACGCUCUUCAAUUGUUCUAGCCAACGUCUUUUGUUUUCCCUGAAGUCAUUGACAGCACUCACAUCUUUCCAUUAACCUCACACCUAUUUAAUUCCCUAGAAAUCACCGUCGUUCUUAUCCCUAGGAAAAUCAUCGACACGAGCGCUCUCUGGAAUCCUCUCCUUGAUUCCCCGUCGUUCCUACCAGUGCACAUACUCAGCUUUCUGGAAUGGUCUCGUUUGUCUGCUAUCUCCUUAUCCACGCUGCCCCAUUAUCUCCCUGAAGCUGCCAACGUCGUUUCUCUCUCCCUCAUCCUCGCAGAGCUGCCUCUCCCUUCCUAUCGGUCACAUGCGUGCAUACUCCUCUGGCCGCCGAGCACCGAGCUCACACCGGCCACUACCUCAGGCCACCAUGCCGCUUGCCCCAGCCCCAUCUCUGCAGCUCGCCCGAGCUCCCUGCGCGCUCCGCUUCCUGUUCCUGGCGCCGGAUCCCCUCCCACACGCGUCCUCUUCUCCGCUUGGCAUCCAUGGAGUCGUCGGCCAUCUCCCCUGCGUCGAGCGCCCUCUUCUCCCUGGUGCUCGCCCCUCCUCAGGUCCGCGCUCGCCCAGCUCGCGCCCACUCCUAGCUCGGUCUCCACCUCCGUUUCCUCUCCCUGUCCGACCAAGCACACCUCGUCGUCGAUUUCCUUCACUGGACCGCGCCCUGCUCGGUUUCCUGCAGCACAUGUCCAGCCCAUGCUCCCAAGGUUAUGGAGCAGCAACAACUAUGAAACCCCCUUCGUGUCGCGCCCUCGAUGUGCUUGAUGAAAUACCGCAGCGAGCUCCACCUCGAUCUAUGCCGACCCGAUCACCACUUCGUCGAACCCCGGUGAGAACCCGUUGUUUUUCUUGUGUUUAUUCCUCGCUAGUACAUGUACUCGGUGUAGAUUAAGUAGAGGCUAACCAUGUGUAUGUUUGUGUAUGCUUGUGAGGAGAGAAACCCCUAGGUUCUGACGGUGAAGAACCGAAGCCCGUGUGACGAUUAGUAAGUGUUCGGUAGAAGGACCGAACCCAAAACCUUCGCUGUGUUCGCGGACGUCGCUUCGAGUUUAGUCAUGGUAAGUCGAUCCGUUGUAUCCGUUAAUCGAAUAAAUGGUUGAUUUGUAUGGAGUCGAUAUUUGUGCUAAAUGAAAUGUGCAUAGUGUCAAGAAAACGGUUCUCCGUCGUGACAUGAUUUUUAGAUUUGGAUUGUUUGAUUAAGUAAAACUGAGAAUCAGCUCUUAGUAAUUAUAAAGAAGUUAUAGUACGUUUUAUAGGCUUUCCAAAAAGUCUUGGAUCACCCCUUUUGGUGGUCUAGAAGUCAAGUUAUGGCUGUUUGAAAUGUAAUGUUUGAAUCUGUCAAAAAUCUAGACAGCAAUGUGUGUUUGAAUUAACUGACUUUGAUACACAUUGAAUCACCUUGAGAUGAUUAUAAAUGAAUUAUAGACAAUUAUAUUAGCUUUCUAAAAAGUCUAGGAUCACCUAAUUUGGAUGUCUGAAACUCCAGUUAUGGAAUUUUAAAGUGAGUGGCCGAAUUCUGUCCAAAUCUGGACAGAAAUUGCGUUUAGUACUGUUUGACAUUUCUAUAUGUCGAAUCUCACUGUGAUGAUAAUACCAAAAUUGUGGAGGACUUUAUAAGCUUUCCAAAAAGUCUUAGUUUACUAUUUUUGGAUGAAUAUUGUGUAAGUUAUGAAUAAAACAACUAGCUGCUGUUUUGCUGUCCAAAAUCAGCAAGCAUUAAGUGGAUUUCUUGAAGUUGCUCUUGUUUGGCUAGGUCAUUUUUUUACCCUUGAUUGAUGACAACUUGUUGCAUAUGAAGUGUUUAUCGAAAUGCCUUGUUAUAUUUGAUUAAUUCAUUUCCUUCUUAUUGUUUGACUAAGUAAAUUUAGUUAGUUCUUGAUUGAUGAAGUCUUGUACUUGCUAAAUUCAAGUGAACAAGUGUCCCAAGCUUAAGGUGCUAUACUCAGUAAUCUAAGGAAAGUAUGGAACACUUAUUAUAUUUCAUCUUGUAUGCUUUAGAUCUUUAAUUGUUGAGGAUGUAAAUUCUAUGGAACUUUAUGUUGUGUGAUAAGUGUUCUACUUGUGUGAUUGAAUAGAAAUGUGAUGAUUUAUUAGUUGGUGUGUUACAAUAAGUUAAUUUGGGAAAGAAGUUUAGGAAACUAGUUAAGCUACUCAUAUCUUUAAUCUAAGUCUGAGGUGACUAUCACUAGUGAACCUAAGUUCUAGUAAUCCUUUGAGAUGU